rnacentral:rRNA from 1 species
GAUGAACGCUGGCGGCGUGCUUAACACAUGCAAGUCGAGCGAAGCAGUUGAAAAGAUUCUUCGGAUGAUUUUUAAUUGACUGAGCGGCGGACGGGUGAGUAACGCGUGGGUGACCUGCCCCAUACCGGGGGAUAACAGCUGGAAACGGCUGCUAAUACCGCAUAAGCGCACAGAGCUGCAUGGCUCAGUGUGAAAAACUCCGGUGGUAUGGGAUGGGCCCGCGUCUGAUUAGGCAGUUGGCGGGGUAACGGCCCACCAAACCGACGAUCAGUAGCCGGCCUGAGAGGGCGACCGGCCACAUUGGGACUGAGACACGGCCCAAACUCCUACGGGAGGCAGCAGUGGGGAAUAUUGCACAAUGGGGGAAACCCUGAUGCAGCGACGCCGCGUGAGCGAAGAAGUAUUUCGGUAUGUAAAGCUCUAUCAGCAGGGAAGAUAAUGACGGUACCUGACUAAGAAGCCCCGGCUAA